rnacentral:rRNA from 1 species
UACGGGGGGAGCAAGCGUUGUUCGGAUUUACUGGGCGUAAAGGGCGCGUAGGCGGCCACCGCAGGUCGAUUGGGAAAUCUCCGGGCUUAACUCGGAAAGGUCAACCGAUACUGCGGGGCUAGAGUGCAGAAGGGGCAACUGGAAUUCUCGGUGUAGCGGUGAAAUUCGUAGAUAUCGGGAGGAACACCGGUGGCGAAGGCGGCGACCUGGGCCAAUACUGACACUGAGGUGCGAAAGCGUGGGGAGCAAACAGG